rfam:Mucilaginibacter mallensis strain MP1X4 genome assembly, chromosome: I
CCAACAGUGGACUGAUUUAAUUGUCCCGAUUGAUUCUGAUAGUCAUCAAAACAAGUCGGGGCCGGAUUGCAACCACGUAAAAAAGUGCUAAAACCAUGCUU